rnacentral:rRNA from 1 species
UGUAAAGUUCAAGCUCCGAUUAUGAGAGCGAAACCGCGAAUGGCUCAUUAAAUCAGUCAUAAUCUACUUGACCGUUUAAAGUUUAUAUGGAUAACUGUGGUAAUUCUAGAGCUAAUACAUGCACAAAGAGGGCGACUCCUGCAAAGGAGAAGCUCUGCGUUUAUUAGACUAAGACCAAUGAUUGGAGCAAUCCAAUCUUGAUUAAGGUGACUCUGAAUAAAUAAUGGGUGAAAGCCCAUGUUGCUGACCUGACAUACCAAAAGGGCUUCACGGUCCUGUCAGGCGAAUCAAUCGAGUGUCUGCUCUAUCAACUGUGGAUGGUAGGGUAAUUGCCUACCAUGGUGGUGACGGGUAACGGGGAGUUAGGGCUCGACUCCGGAGAACAAGCCUGAGAAACGGCUAGUAGGACUAAGGUCUGCAGCAGGCGCGAAACUUACACAAUGCUAGAUUAAAAUUAGCGAUGUAGUGAAGAAAAAUAACGAUGUACUUACAUUUAAACAUGUUAGUACAAUUGGAAUGAGACGACUAUAAACCAGUCAGUCGAGUAACAAAUGGAGGGCAAGUCUGGUGCCAGCAGCCGCGGUAAUUCCAGCUCCAUUAGCAUACAUUAAAGUUGUUGCGGUUAAAAAGCUCGUAGUUGAAUUUUAGGCGAGCUCUAUUGGGAUGCAUCCGUUAAGACUUCCAUUAUGUCUCCGGACUUUUGGUUAGUUGGUUGUAUUUUCCCUAUAGGAACUCGCUGUUUCGUCACUUAAUCGAGUGCGAAGCGGGCUGGCACAAGAGCUUCACUUCGGUGAGCUUUGUAUCAGCAUGUUUACCUUGAGAAAAUUAGAGUGCUCACAGCAGGCAGUUGAGGUGUAAAAGCUUCUUUAUGCUUGAAUAAUGUUGCAUGGAAUAAUAGAAUACGGCCUCGGUUCUAUUCUGUUGGUCUUAUAGAACAACAAACAAGUUGGUUGAAGCGACAAAAGUCUACUUGCGAGCGUGAUUUUGAGCCAACCUUUAGUCACUUGUUACGUUAUUUGCUAGAUUCUGUUGCCUUGAGCCUAAAAACUCAUGAGCCUGGUCUGCAUUUCUACUAACUUGUUGCUUUUGGCACAACUCAUUUUCAUCCAAGCGCUCCUUGUCAGGCUGCUUCCAAUCAACUGAGGCAAUGGUUAAAAGAAAUAGUCGCGGCGGCAUCAGUACUGCAUCGUGAGAGGUGAAAUUCUUAGACCGAUGC